rnacentral:rRNA from 1 species
GUGACCUGCGGAGGAUCAUUAAAGAGACGUUGCCCUUCGGGGUAUACCUCCCACCCAUUGUUUAUUAUACCUUUGUUGCUUUGGCAGACCCGGCUUCGGCCCACCGGCUCCGGCUGGUCAGUGUCUGCCAGAGGACCUAAAACUCUGCUUGUUAAUAUUGUCUGAGUACUAUAUAAUAGUUAAAACUUUCAACAACGGAUCUCUUGGUUCUGGCAUCGAUGAAGAACGCAGCGAAAUGCGAUAAGUAAUGUGAAUUGCAGAAUUCAGUGAAUCAUCGAAUCUUUGAACGCACAUUGCGCCCUCUGGUAUUCCGGGGGGCAUGCCUGUUCGAGCGUCAUUACAACCCUCAAGCUUUGCUUGGUAUCGGACAUUGCCAGUUUCUGGCAGGUCUUAAAAUCAGUGGCGGUGCCAUUUGGCUUCAAGCGUAGUAAUUCUUCUCGCUUUGGAGAUCCAGGUGGUUACUUGCCAAUAACCCCCAAUUUUUUCAGGUUGACCUCGGAUCAGGUAGGGAUACCCGCUGAACUUAAGCAUAUCAAUAAGCGGAGGA